UGUAUUCUCUGUUCAUAAUACUCCAAUUACUGAGACUUGUCCCAUUUUAGCUGUUAAGGUAUUGAACUAAUUAAGCUAGUUCCUUACAAAUUGGUAUCAAAGCCAGACAAUCCUACCAUGGCUACUAACAACCAACGCCUAAGUCAAUUGGAAGAGCAGAUCGGUAGCUUCAAAAAUGAUUUCGGUGCUCAAAUGAAUGAACUCAAG
rnacentral:lncRNA from 1 species